UCUUUUCCUUUUUUUCCCUCAGCCGCGGUAAUACGUAUGGAGCAAGCGUUAUCCGGAUUUACUGGGUGUAAAGGGAGUGUAGGUGGCCAUGCAAGUCAGAAGUGAAAAUCCGGGGCUCAACCCCGGAACUGCUUUUGAAACUGUGAGGCUAGAGUGCAGGAGGGGUGAGUGGAAUUCCUAGUGUAGCGGUGAAAUGCGUAGAUAUUGGGAGGAACACCAGUGGCGAAGGCGCCUUUCUGGACUGUGUCUGACGCUGAGAUGCGAAAGCCAGGGUAGCGAACGGG
rnacentral:rRNA from 1 species